UGGGGUGUGGCUCAGUGGUUGAGCAUUUGUCUAGCAUGUGCAAAGCCCUGAGUUCAAUCCCAGCACCACAG
rfam:Ictidomys tridecemlineatus contig080378, whole genome shotgun sequence.